AGAGAAAACCUCCUGACAGCAAAAAUUAUGCAACCCUGGCAAUAGCAAGAAAAUCAGCUAUGGAAGUAUCCAACAAAUUGUAUUAACAUACCAUAAGAACCAAUUAUGGACCAUUCUUAACACCAGAGAAGAAAUCCACAAUUAUGGUAUAAACACUAAGACAACCCAGAACUGUGUUCCAGGAGGCGAGAGGCCAGCUCCACCCACGACUCAGAUACCUGCACAAAGACUUCUCCCAAAAACAGCACUGAGUUCUGUGCAUCCUCCCACUGCAUUGCUCAGAAUAAUAAAAGGAUGGAGUAGAGUUUGGUGUCACUGUCUUGAUUAAUAUUAAGACUCUAGUAGCA
ensembl:lncRNA